GACGAACGUUGGCGGCGUGCUUAAUACAUGCAAGUCAACUGAAGCAGUGGUAGCAAUCUCGCUGUGGAGGUGGCGCACGGGUGAGUAACACGUAGGUAAUCUGCCUUCAGGUCUGGCAUAACUCCGGGAAACCGGGGCUAAUAGCAGAUGAUGCAGCGGCUCGACAUCGAGACAGUUGUUAAAGCUAUGGCGCCUGAAGAUGAGCCUGCGUCUGAUUAGCUAGUUGGCGGGGUAACGGCCCACCAAGGCAACGAUCAGUAGCUGGUCUGAGAGGAUGAUCAGGCACACUGGAACUGAGACACGGUCCAGACUCCUACGGGAGGCAGCAGUAAGGAAUAUUGCUCAAUGGGAGAAAUCCUGAAGCAGCAACGCCGCGGGAGGGACGAAGGGCUUUGGCUUGUAAACCUCUGUAGUGAGAGAAAAAAAUCCCAAUCUUUGGGACAUGAUGGUAUCUCAAAAGUAAGCCCCGGCUAACUACGUG
rnacentral:rRNA from 1 species